AGACCCAGCUGGCAGGGCAGAUGCCAUGAUCACGAAGGUGGUUUCCCAGGGCGAGGCUUAGCCAUUUCACUCCAGAUGUGCUGGCCCCUGCGAUUUUCUCCAGUGUAGGAAACUCAACUGCAUAGUUUGUGAUAGUGGGGAUUGCGUUCGUGCUCUCCGCU